rnacentral:rRNA from 1 species
UGGGGAGCAAACAGGAUUAGAUACCCUGGUAGUCCACGCCGUAAACGAUGUCUACUUGGAGGUUGUGCCCUUGAGGCGUGGCUUCCGGAGCUAACGCGUUAAGUAGACCGCCUGGGGAGUACGGCCGCAAGGUUAAAACUCAAAUGAAUUGACGGGGGCCCGCACAAGCGGUGGAGCAUGUGGUUUAAUUCGAUGCAACGCGAAGAACCUUACCUGGUCUUGACAUCCACAGAASWWUCCAGAGAUGGAYUKGUGCCUUCGGGAACUGUGAGACAGGUGCUGCAUGGCUGUCGUCAGCUCGUGUUGUGAAAUGUUGGGUUAAGUCCCGCAACGAGCGCAACCCUUAUCCUUUGUUGCCAGCGGUCCGGCCGGGAACUCAAAGGAGACUGCCAGUGAUAAACUGGAGGAAGGUGGGGAUGACGUCAAGUCAUCAUGGCCCUUACGACCAGGGCUACACACGUGCUACAAUGGCGCAUACAAAGAGAAGCGACCUCGCGAGAG